rnacentral:rRNA from 1 species
UGCAGUCGAGCGGUAGAGAGGAGCUUGCUUCUCUUGAGAGCGGCGGACGGGUGAGUAAUGCCUAGGAAUCUGCCUAGUGGUGGGGGAUAACGUUCGGAAACGGACGCUAAUACCGCAUACGUCCUACGGGAGAAAGCGGGGGAUCUUCGGACCUCGCGCCAUUAGAUGAGCCUAGGUCGGAUUAGCUAGUUGGUGAGGUAAUGGCUCACCAAGGCGACGAUCCGUAACUGGUCUGAGAGGAUGAUCAGUCACACUGGAACUGAGACACGGUCCAGACUCCUACGGGAGGCAGCAGUGGGGAAUAUUGGACAAUGGGCGAAAGCCUGAUCCAGCCAUGCCGCGUGUGUGAAGAAGGUCUUCGGAUUGUAAAGCACUUUAAGUUGGGAGGAAGGGUUGUAGAUUAAUACUCUGCAAUUUUGACGUUACCGACAGAAUAAGCACCGGCUAACUUCGUGCCAGCAGCCGCGGUAAUACGAAGGGUGCAAGCGUUAAUCGGAAUUACUGGGCGUAAAGCGCGCGUAGGUGGUUCGUUAAGUUGGAUGUGAAAGCCCCGGGCUCAACCUGGGAACUGCAUCCAAAACUGGCGAGCUAGAGUACGGUAGAGGGUAGUGGAAUUUCCUGUGUAGCGGUGAAAUGCGUAGAUAUAGGAAGGAACACCAGUGGCGAAGGCGACUACCUGGACUGAUACUGACACUGAGGUGCGAAAGCGUGGGGAGCAAACAGGAUUAGAUACCCUGGUAGUCCACGCCGUAAACGAUGUC